GACGUAGGGCGCGAGCGUUGUCCGGAUUUAUUGGGCGUAAAGAGCUCGUAGGCGGCUUGUCGCGUCGACUGUGAAAACCCGCGGCUCAACUGCGGGCCUGCAGUCGAUACGGGCAGGCUAGAGUUCGGUAGGGGAGACUGGAAUUCCUGGUGUAGCGGUGAAAUGCGCAGAUAUCAGGAGGAACACCGGUGGCGAAGGCGGGCCUCUGGGCCGAUACUGACGCUGAGGAGCGAAAGCGUGGGGAGCGAACAGG
rnacentral:rRNA from 1 species